ACCAACUGCAGCGCAGGACGCGCUCAGGGUCAUGGAUGACCGACCAUGUGCAAGGAUGCAGCGACAGGAUGUCGUAAUGGUCUUGAAGAAACCCCGCUUCGGCGGGGUUUUU
rnacentral:sRNA from 1 species